GAAUGUAUGAGAAUACUACUUGGAUAACCGUAGUAAUUCUAGAGCUAAUACAUGCAACGACGCCCGACCGUUUCACUACGGAAGGGCUGUAUUUAUUGGAUACCAAAACCAUCCUUCCCUCGGGAAGUUUUGUUUGAUGAUUCACAAUAACUGAUCGGAUCGCCACUGUGGUGGCGACAGGUCAUUCAACAUUCUGCCCUAUCAGCUUUCGAUGGUUGUGUAGUGGACAACCAUGGCCAUAACGGGUAACGGAGAAUCAGGGUUCGAUUCCGGAGAAGGAGCUUGAGAAUUGGCUACUACAUCUAAGGAAGGCAGCAGGCGCGCAAUUACCCAAUCCCGAUUCGGGGAGGUAGUGACAAAAAAUAACAAUACCGGGCCUUUUUGGGCUUGGUAAUUGGAAUGAGGGAGAGUUAAACGGACCAACGAGUAUCCAUUGGAGGGCAAGUCUGGUGCCAGCAGCUGCGGUAAUACCAGCUCCAAUAGCGUAUAUUAAAGUUGUUGCAGUUAAAAAGCUCGUAGUUGGACUUGUGUGCGCUGUCCGCGGGUGGCCUGCGCUCAAAAGGGUGUUUCGGUUCGACCCCGGUGGCGCCUUGAAAUCUGCAGCUGGGGGGACGUUGGCCUUAACUGGUCGGCGACCGCACGCCGGCUGCUCGGUUACUGUGAGAAAAUUAGAGUGUUCAAGGCAGGCAUUGGGUGCAAUUGAAUACAUUAGCAUGGAAUAAUAAAAUAUGGCUCCUGCCGUAUUUUGUUGGUUUUGACUGGUGGGAGUAAUGAUUGAUAGGGACGGUUGGGGGUGCUAGUAUUGAGCGGCCAGAGGUGAAAUUCAUGGAUUCGCUCAAGACUAACUUAUGCGAAAGCAUUCACCAAGGACGUCCUCUUUAAUCAAGAACGAAAGUUGGGGGAUCAAGACGAUCAGAUACCGUCGUAGUCUCAACCAUAAACUAUGUCGACUUGGGAUCGGCGGUAGUUUUUUCAUUAAGACACUGUCGGGACCACGGGAGAAAUCAAAGUGUCUGGACUCUGGGGGAAGUAUGGUCGCAAGGCUGAAACUUGAAGGAAUUGACGGAAGGGCACCACCAGGAGUGGAGCCUGCGGCUUAAUUUGACCCAACACGGGGAAACUUACCAGGUCCAGAGAUGUAGAGGAUUGACAGAUUGAAGCUCUUUCUUGAUCACUUCGGUGGUGGUGCAUGGCCGUUCUUAGUUGGUGGAGUGAUUUGUCUGGUUAAUUCCGUUAACGAACGAGACCUCAGCCUGCUAGUGUAGUCGGCU
rnacentral:rRNA from 1 species